GGCUGCAGCCGCAGCAGCAGGAUGGGACUAGCGUGCCGUGCCCGCCGGCAGCCGGAGCAGCGGCCGCCUCAGUAACGCGGGCCCCGGGCCGCCGCCGCCGCCACCGCCCCCCACCCGCCCGCGCUCAGCCCAUGCACAAGCCGAGCAGCGGCCGCCGCGGGAGGAGCCGCCGCCGCCCCCGCGCUAGGAGCUGAGGCGCUGAGGCGCUGCGCCGGCAGGAAUCGGGUCGAGCGGGCCGAGCGCGGGUAGCGCGGGGCUGUCGCCGUCGCCGCGCCGGGGAGAUGUGCCCGGAGGAGGGCGGCGCGGCUGGGCUGGGCGAGCUUCGCUCCUGGUGGGAAGUGCCGGCCAUCGCGCACUUCUGCUCGCUCUUUCGCACCGCGUUCCGCCUGCCGGACUUUGAGAUCGAGGAGUUAGAAGCAGCUCUUCACAGAGAUGAUGUGGAGUUCAUCAGUGACCUGAUCGCCUGCCUGCUUCAGGGCUGCUAUCAACGAAGGGAUAUUACGCCUCAGACAUUCCACAGCUACCUAGAAGACAUCAUCAACUACCGUUGGGAGCUUGAAGAAGGGAAACCCAACCCUCUCAGAGAAGCCAGUUUCCAAGACCUCCCUCUUCGCACUCGUGUGGAGAUCCUACACCGCCUCUGUGACUAUCGGCUAGAUGCCGAUGAUGUCUUCGAUCUUCUCAAGGGUCUGGAUGCAGACAGUCUCCGUGUGGAACCGCUGGGUGAAGACAACUCUGGGGCACUCUAUUGGUAUUUCUAUGGAACACGAAUGUACAAAGAAGACCCGGUACAAGGAAACUCCAAUGGAGCCCUCUCUUUGAGCAGGGAAAAUGAAGGACAAAAAAAUGUCUCAAAUGUUCCUGGAAAAACAGGAAAAAGAAGAGGAAGACCCCCCAAACGGAAAAAACUACAGGAGGAUAUUACAGUGAGUGAAAAGCCGGAAGAAAACUCCUUGGCAUCUGAGCCACAGACAAGAAAUGGUUCCCAAGGUCCAGGCCAAGGCACUUGGUGGCUCUUGUGCCAAACAGAAGAAGAAUGGAGACAGGUCACAGAGAGUUUUCGAGAGAGGACCUCCCUGCGAGAACGACAGCUCUAUAAGCUCCUCAGUGAGGACUUCCUGCCUGAGAUUUGCAACAUGAUUGCCCAGAAGGAGACCCCUGUGCUUACCAGAAUGGAAAAGCAGAAGCGCAGAGAGGAGGAGGAAGAACGUCAGAUUCUUCUGGCCGUGCAGAAGAAGGAGCAGGAACAAAUGUUAAAGGAAGAGAGGAAACGGGAGUUGGAGGAAAAGGUCAAGGCAGUGGAAGAUCGAGCUAAAAGGCGAAAGCUCAGGGAAGAACGGGCGUGGCUGCUGGCUCAAGGGAAGGAGCUCCCCCCAGAACUCUCCCAUCUAGACCCCAGCUCUCCCAUGAGGGAAGAAAAAAAGGCUAAGGACCUUUUUGAAUUGGAUGAUGAUUUCACUGCCAUGUAUAAAGUUCUAGAUGUUGUAAAGGCUCAUAAGGAUUCCUGGCCCUUUUUGGAACCUGUGGAUGAAUCUUAUGCGCCCAACUAUUACCAGAUUAUUAAGGUCCCCAUGGAUAUUUCAAGCAUGGAGAAGAAACUGAAUGGAGGUUUAUACUGUACCAAGGAAGAAUUUGUAAAUGACAUGAAGACUAUGUUCAGGAAUUGUCGCAAAUAUAAUGGGGAAAGUAGUGAGUAUACCAAGAUGUCUGACAACUUAGAGAGGUGUUUCCAGCGGGCGAUGAUGAAACAUUUCCCUGGUGAAGAUGGAGACACAGAUGAAGAAUUUUGGAUCAGAGAGGAUGAAAAGCGGGAGAAGAGACGAAGUCGUGCCGGGCGAAGUAGCGGCAGCCAUGUCUGGACCCGCUCUAGGGACCCCGACGGGCCCAACAGGAAGCAGCAGCCUGUGGAGAAUGGAGGGAAAUCGCUGCCCCCUGCACGCCGAGCCCCGUCCACCGUGGACAGUCAGAGGAGCAGCUCCACACAGCCCCCUCGGGAGGUGGGCCCUUCUAAUGGCCGAGGCUUUUCCUGCCCUCUGCAUUAUGGCGGGAUGCCCAGCCACUCACCCCUUUUAAACCAGAUGAGGCCCACAGUACCAGGAACAUUUGGCCCACUGCGGGGAUCAGAUCCUGCCAACUUAUAUGGCUCCUCUAGAGUCCCAGAACCACACCCUGGAGAGCUCGUUCAUCAACAUCAGUCUUUUGCUGUGCAGCCUCCAGUUGGAAUUAACAAUCACCGAGGACCCAGGCUAGGGACACCUGAAGAGAAGCCCAUGUGUGGGGGGCUGACGCACCUUUCUAACAUGGGGUCACAUCCUGGAUCCUUGCAGCUUGGGCACAUGAGUAGCCCCUGUCAGGAUGGAAGCAUGUAUCCCCCUACUCAAUUCCAGCCAGGAUUUAUUCCUCCCAGGCAUGGUGGGGCUCCAGCCCGACCCCCAGACUUUCCUGAAAGCUCAGAAAUUCCUCCCAGCCACAUGUACCGAUCCUACAAGUACCUGAAUCGCGUACACUCUGCUGUCUGGAAUGGGAACCAUGGUGCUGCAAACCCCAGCCCCUUGGGGCCAGAUGAGAAGUCCCACAUGGGGCCCGGACCCUCACACCAGCCUCACACUCUGGGUCACAUGAUGGAUUCCCGAGUGAUGAGACCACCUCUCCCCCCAAACCAGUGGACUGAACAAUCAAGCUUCCUACCUCAUGGAGUUCCUUCUUCAGGGUAUAUGCGACAACCCUGUAAAUCCACUGGACAUCGGUUACAGGCCCCUCCAGCCGCACUGCAGAGUUCUCUGUUUGGGGCACCCUCCCAGGCCCUGCGCGGGGUGCCAGGAGGGGACUCCAUGAUGGACAGCCCAGAGAUGAUUGCCAUGCAGCAGCUGUCCUCCCGCGUUUGCCCUCCAGGUGUGCCUUACCACCCCCAACAGCCUGCUCCCCACCAUUUACCUGGCCCUUUUCCACAGGUAGCUCACUCAGCCUCAGUAACUGUGGCAACCCCCAAAACUGCCUUGGGGGACCCUGGGAGGACACAGGAUAACAGUGAAACAAAAGAGUCUGACAGUGACCGAGCAGAGCCUUUGCCUGGGCUUGAGGAGAAACCACCAGGUGUUGGUGCUUCAGAGGGGGUGUACCUCAAACAACUACCUCAUCCACCUCCCCUGCAGACCGGCUGCACCAGGCAGAGCUCACCACGAGAAAGGGAGACAGAGGGCCUGGAGCUCAAAAGCAAGUCCUCAGAAUCUGGAGACAACUGUAAAGUAACAAAGGGCAAGAAUACCUGGCCCUCAGAUAGCAGCUACACCAGCCCAGCUGCCCAAGGAUGCAUGAGCGACAUCUCUACUGUGGCAGACAGAGGGGCUCUACCUGAAAAUGGAGUGAUGGGAGAAGCAUCUCCUUGUGGGUCCGAGGGGAAGGGCCUUGGUGGUUCCGAAAAGCCUCUCUGCCCCCGAGGCAAAGCGUUGCAGGAAACGCUGCCAUGUACUGGACAGAACGCAGCUUCGCCUCCCAGCACGGAUCCCAGUUUGAUGGGAGGCUCUGUGAGCCAGUUUUCUCCCUUGUAUAUGCCUAGCCUGGAAUAUUCAAAUUCAGCUGCUCAUUACCACAUCGGUCCAGGCCUGCAGGGUUUGGGCCCUGUGAUGGGAGGGAAAUCCUCAGUAGCGCAUCCUCAGCAUUUUCGCCCUAGGAACUUUCAGUCUAAUAACCCUCAUUCUGGAAUUUUUCCACGGUUUCCCCCCCACCAAGGAAUGAGAUAUUCUUACCAGGCACCACCCCAGCCUUCCUACCAUCACUACCAGCGAACUCCUUAUUACACGUGUCCACAGGGCUUUUCUGACUGGCAGAGACCUCUCCAUACCCAGGGAAGCCCAAGCGGGCCACCUAGUCAGCCACUCCCACCAAAGCCCCUCUUCUCAGAUAAUAAUGCUGUGGCUAAUUUGCAAGUCUGUGAGACACUGAAUGCUGCCUUAACUUCUCCAACCCGAGUGGAUGCCGUGGCUGCUGAAGUUGUCGCAACUGAUGGGCAGAAUCCUGGUCCAGAGGAAGAGAAGCUGGAUGAAUCCAUGGAGAGGCCAGAGAGUCCCAAAGAAUUUCUAGACCUGGACAACCAUAAUGCAGCUACCAAGCGACAGAGUUCAUUGUCAGCCAAUGAAUAUCUUUAUGGAACUCCUCCUCCACCUCUGAGUUCAGGGAUGGGUUUUGGUUCGUCUCCUUUCCCACCCCAUGGUGUAAUGCUACAAACGGGGCCUCCGUAUACACCUCAGCGGCCGGCCAGUCAUUUCCAGCCCAGGGCUUACUCUUCCUCUGUGGCUGCUCACCCCCCUCACCAUCCAGUGGCCGCCCAACCCAACGGCCUCCCACAGGAGGGCCCCGUCUACAGCUGCCAGGAUGGCCUGGGGCACUUUCAGGCUGUAAUGAUGGAACAGAUUGGCACUGGAAGUGGGACAAGGGGACCUUUCCAGGAAAUGUACAGACCAUCAGGAAUGCAGAUGCAACCCAUGCAGUCACAGUCCUCAUUCCCAAAGACCCCGGCUCCAGUAACAUCACAGGAAGAGCUGCCGCCACACAAGCCCCCAACCCUUCCUCUGGAUCAGAGCUAGUCCAAGGAGGAAAUUAUCCCCAAGGAAAUGGAAAGCUGCACAUGAAGACUGGAAUAUGGAGAAUUUGGGGAAGUGAUCCUCAUCCAUCUCUGCUCCUGUCCCCCCACCCUUCACAGUGCUUUGUUCAUGCCAUCCAGGAGUUGGAGCCAUUCACGGGGCCCCAGAGCAUGCUCCCUAGAUGAGAGCACACAGCUCCCAAAGGUCCUGGGCAGGGCUCUCUCGCGGAGCUGAUGGAGACCGUCAGGAAGAACAAGUGAACCUGGAAUUAGGAUGACUCUUCCAAAUCCUGAGACUUUUGUUCAGGGAAAAUAAUUGUAAACUGGUGGGGAGAAGGCCUACUUAAGAAUGGAGUGGUGUUUUUAAACUUUUAUGAGCAGCUAAACUCAGUGGCUAUCCAUCUUUUAAGAGCUGAAGGCUAUCCUUCCAUCUAGCUGAGGAGAGUACAGUUGCACCUGUUCCUUGACCCAUUUCGUUUCUCAUUUUGGUGGCGGAGUGCUCUCACAUGGCUUUCUCCAGAGGCUUCAGUCCAGAAAGCAGGCUGCUCACUUGCUCUGGUGGCCCGAAUCCUGGAUUUGAACAGUGGGUGCUCCUUCAAAUCCUUUUAUCCCUGAUUUUACCACCAACCCUACCAGAUAGUUGUAAACCAAUCUCGGGAAUUGGGAUCACUAGAGCGUUUCACUUAUUAGAAUAUAAAAUGAAUUAUCAUCUUCUGGUGGGCCUGCCGGACUGUGAUCUAGAAAGCUUUCCUGAUCGAAUACAGCUUUCUGGCUCAAAUCACAUUUUGUGGAAGUGACUACUCAGGUUUGUAUAUGUUAGCAUCAAUAAAGAAAUUGCACAGUU